UGAUUUGUAAACUUCUUUUUUUUAAUGUCUGAUUUUUUGUAGAAAUUUUUAUCCACAUCCUUUGCCCAUAUUUCCCUGCAGUGAUUAUCACCUUCUUAUUGCUUCUCAUCAUUCAAGACUCACAUUUUCACAAAGGGUUUGCAAAUAUAUUGGACCGUCUCUUGACUUCUUUUACAGGUCCUUGACUUUCAUACUUUAUUCCUAGCAUUCUUUCUUCCCUUCCACCCACUUUGUUUCCAUCCUCUAAGGCUUCUAGUUUUCUUCCUAGGCCUUAGGUGUCACCAGAAAUCUACAGUGGGAGGUAGCACUUAGCAAAAUACAGAACAUUCACUUCUCCAGUUCAGGCCAUACCCUUUUCUGUUAUGGAAAUACCUGGGCAAAAGAGGUUGGUAAUGAGGAGUUUACUUUGGGAAUAGAGUAUUAGAACAGAAGGAGAUAGAUAAGUAACUUGGAGGCCUUUAUAGACUAUUUCUUACAAGAAAAGAAAUGUAAGUCAUUAUAGAAAAUGUUAAAUGGAAGUAAAUUUCUUGAAAAAAAUAGCAUGUAUUGUAAUUGGUAAACUGCUUUUUAACUUUACAAUGUAUUACAAGCAUUUUAAAAUAUUAUUAAUAUUCUGCUGCUGCUGCUGCUAAGUCACUUCAGUCGUGUCCGACCCUGUGUGACCCCAUAGACGGCAGCCCACCAGGCUCCCACGUGCUAGUGUUGUUUUAAUGGAUAUAUAAUAUUCCAAUGUUAAAUAUGCCAUAACUCAAUCAGCAACCCCUAUUAUUUCCAAUUUUGUGAUAUUAUAAACAAAGCUGUGAGGAAUAUCCUUAUAACUAAAACUUUCUGUAUAUCUAUGAUUUUGGAUAAUUCCAGAAAUUUUCAAGAUAAUACUGAAAAGAAAAAUUGCAGUCUUGAAAUUGAACAAAGUUUUAUAUGUACAUAUUGCCUUGUUGCAUUUACAUUCUUUUGUGUUAAUUGAGUAAGGAAAAAUGGCAUCUCAUUUUAAUUCACAUUUCUUUGAUUGUAAAAGAGUUUAACAGUUUUAAAUGGCCAUUGUAUUCUUUUUAUUUAUCCCCAUCCUUUGCCCAUUUUGCAUGAAGGUGAUUAUUGUCUUCUUACUGCUUUUCCUCAUAAGCUCAGCUCCACCAUUUGACUUGUUACAUGUGAAUAUAUUAAAACAUCAUUUAAAUAUAAUGCUUAUUGUUAUGUUUUCACCUAUUAUAGUCUGUCGAUCUUUGCCUUAUGCUUUCCACUUUUGACGAUGUGUUUUGAAAGUCUUCUCAAGAUUUUAUAAAUAUUCAUAAAUGUUUUCUUGCAAUAAUUUUAUGAUUUCAUUUUUCAAGCAUUCACAUUGUUGAUCUACAUGCAGUGUAUUUUGAUGUUGGUGCAAAGUAGGCAUAUAACUUUGUGAUUUGCUAUCUCCAAAUGAUUAACCAGUCAUCUCAAAAGAGAUGGUUUAGUCUUAGAUUUCUCAUACCAGCCAAGAAAAAGCAUAAACUUAUAUCUUUUAGAAAGAAUAGAUAUAAUAUGUGAAAUUAUCUCUAAUUUGAUAAAUAAUUUCUAUUUAUAUAGGAGGCAAUUAUUUAUUAUUUUUUUCUCAAUUUAGUAAUAUAGAACUGAGUAUAUUUCAUGUUUUAAUUGAUAAAGUACUUAAAUAAUUAGUUUUCCUUAAGAUAAGUUUUUACUUUUAUUGAAAUAGUGUUUCUCAUUUCUAAAC
ensembl:lncRNA